rnacentral:rRNA from 1 species
CCUACGGGAGGCUGCAGUGGGGAAUUUUGGACAAUGGGGGCAACCCUGAUCCAGCCAUGCCGCGUGUAUGAAGAAGGCCUUCGGGUUGUAAAGUACUUUUGUUAGGGAAGAAAAGGGAAGUGCUAAUACCACUUUUUGCUGACGGUACCUAAAGAAUAAGCACCGGCUAACUACGUGCCAGCAGCCGCGGUAAUACGUAGGGUGCGAGCGUUAAUCGGAAUUACUGGGCGUAAAGCGAGCGCAGACGGUUAUUUAAGCAGGAUGUGAAAUCCCCGGGCUUAACCUGGGAACUGCGUUCUGAACUGGAUAGCUAGAGUGUGUCAGAGGGGGGUAGAAUUCCACGUGUAGCAGUGAAAUGCGUAGAGAUGUGGAGGAAUACCGAUGGCGAAGGCAGCCCCCUGGGAUAACACUGACGUUCAUGCUCGAAAGCGUGGGUAGCAAACAGGAUUAGAUACCCCUGUAGUC